UACAGCGCAACUUUUAUUUACACAUGCAGAAUGUCCAACCCCAAAACGAUACUUACCUCUAAAAGUCUCACAACCUCCUGACUCUUUAAACCCACGCAAUAGAAAAUGAUUUUGGCUUAAACUGGCUUUAGAAAACAAACUACCUCAUUUGAUGCUCAAGGCCUGCUCCAAAGAGUGUGCGUCAGAGAGAAAGAGGAGAAAGUGAGGAAAGAAAAGGACACAAUGCACGGAGAGAGAGGAGAGGGAGAGAGAGAUCACAGCUGAUGUGCACCUUAAUUCUCCCCUCUAAUUUCAUCUCCUCUCAUCUCAUCUCAUCCUUCUUCAGACAUUUUCAUGGACAUGGACAGAAGACAGUUCCUGCAAGACUUCUACAAGUUUAAGUUUUGCAGGAGCAGAUGGCCGGACUGCAGAGUACAGUCACAGAUCUUUGUAAUGUGAGGAAGCAGCGAGGGACUGUUCGCCAUCCUGCCUUCACUUCUUCCAAUUUGGCAACAAACAAAUGAACCACACAGCAACUAGUUAGCUGAAUAAACAGCUACAUUUUCCA